rnacentral:rRNA from 1 species
AUGCAAGUCGAACGAGAAAGUGGAGCAAUCCAUGAGUACAGUGGCGUACGGGUGAGUAACACGUGGGUAAUCUACCUCUUAGUGGGGAAUAACUUUGGGAAACCGAAGCUAAUACCGCAUAAGCUCGAGAGAGGAAAGCAGCAAUGCGCUGAGAGAGGAGCCCGCGGCCGAUUAGCUAGUUGGCAGGGUAAAAGCCUACCAAGGCAGAGAUCGGUAGCCGGCCUGAGAGGGCACACGGCCACACUGGCACUGAAACACGGGCCAGACUCCUACGGGAGGCAGCAGUGGGGAAUCUUGCACAAUGGGGGCAACCCUGAUGCAGCGACGCCGCGUGAGCGAUGAAGCCCUUCGGGGUGUAAAGCUCUUUCGGCAGGGAAGAUGGUGACGGUACCUGCAGAAGCAGCUGCGGCUAACUACGUGCCAGCAGCCGCGGUAAUACGUAGGCAGCGAGCGUUGUUCGGAGUUACUGGGCGUAAAGGGUGUGUAGGCGGUUGUUUAAGUUUGGUGUGAAAUCUCCCGGCUCAACUGGGAGGGUGCGCCGAAUACUGAGCGACUAGAGUGCGGGAGAGGAAAGUGGAAUUCCUGGUGUAGCGGUGAAAUGCGUAGAUAUCAGGAGGAACACCGGUGGUGUAGACGGCUU